CCUACGGGGGGCUGCAGUGGGGAAUAUUGGACAAUGGGGGGAACCCUGAUCCAGCCAUGCCGCGUGUGUGAAGAAGGCCCUCGGGUUGUAAAGCACUUUCAGUGAGGAAGAACGCCUGGUGGUUAAUACCCAUCAGGAAAGACAUCACUCACAGAAGAAGCACCGGCUAACUCCGUGCCAGCAGCCGCGGUAAUACGGAGGGUGCGAGCGUUAAUCGGAAUUACUGGGCGUAAAGCGCGCGUAGGUGGCUUGAUAAGCCGGUUGUGAAAGCCCCGGGCUCAACCUGGGAACGGCAUCCGGAACUGUCAAGCUAGAGUGCAGGAGAGGAAGGUAGAAUUCCCGGUGUAGCGGUGAAAUGCGUAGAGAUCGGGAGGAAUACCAGUGGCGAAGGCGGCCUUCUGGACUGACACUGACACUGAGGUGCGAAAGCGUGGGUAGCAAACAGGAUUAGAUACCCGGGAAGUC
rnacentral:rRNA from 1 species